rnacentral:rRNA from 1 species
GAUGAACGCUGGCGGCGUGCCUAAUACAUGCAAGUCGAGCGAACAGACGAGGAGCUUGCUCCUCUGACGUUAGCGGCGGACGGGUGAGUAACACGUGGAUAACCUACCUAUAAGACUGGGAUAACUUCGGGAAACCGGAGCUAAUACCGGAUAAUAUAUUGAACCGCAUGGUUCAAUAGUGAAAGACGGUUUUGCUGUCACUUAUAGAUGGAUCCGCGCCGCAUUAGCUAGUUGGUAAGAUAACGGCUUACCAAGGCAACGAUGCGUAGCCGACCUGAGAGGGUGAUCGGCCACACUGGAACUGAGACACGGUCCAGACUCCUACGGGAGGCAGCAGUAGGGAAUCUUCCGCAAUGGGCGAAAGCCUGACGGAGCAACGCCGCGUGAGUGAUGAAGGUCUUCGGAUCGUAAAACUCUGUUAUUAGGGAAGAACAAAUGUGUAAGUAACUAUGCACGUCUUGACGGUACCUAAUCAGAAAGCCAUGGCUAACUACGUG